GACUCUUAGAAGUGGAUCACUCUGCUCCAGCAUCCAUGAAGAAUGCUGUGAGAAUUAAUGUGAAUUGCAGGAUGCAGUGAUCAUUCAUACUUCUGUUGCACUUGUGGUCCUGGGCCUCCUCCAGCUGCUAGGCCUAUCUGAGUGUGG
ensembl:rRNA 5_8S_rRNA 5.8S ribosomal RNA